AUGAACGCUGGCGGCGUGCCUAAUACAUGCAAGUCGAACGAAACUUCUUUAUCACCGAGUGCUUGCACUCACCGAUAAAGAGUUGAGUGGCGAACGGGUGAGUAACACGUGGGCAGCCUGCCCAAAAGAGGGGGAUAACACUUGGAAACAGGUGCUAAUACCGCAUAACCAUAGUUACCGCAUGGUAACUAUGUAAAAGGUGGCUAUACUACCGCUUUUGGAUGGGCCCGCGGCGCAUUAGCUAGUUGGUAGGGUAAAGGCUUACCAAGGCAAUGAUGCGUAGCCGAAUUGAGAGGUUGAUCGGCCACAUUGGGACUGAGACACGGCCCAAACUCCUACGGGAGGCAGCAGUAGGGAAUCUUCCACAAUGGGCGAAAGCCUGAUGGAGCAACGCCGCGUGGGUGAAGAAGGUCUUCGGAUCGUAAAACCCUGUUGUUAGAGAAGAAAGUGCGUGAGAGUAACUGUUCACGUUUCGACGGUAUCUAACCAGAAAGCCACGGCUAACUACGUG
rnacentral:rRNA from 1 species